rnacentral:rRNA from 1 species
GACGAACGCUGGCGGCGUGCCUAAUACAUGCAAGUAGAACGCAGUUGCGAACGGGUGAGUAACGCGUAGGUAACCGCCUGGUAGCGGGGGAUAACUAUUGGAAACGAUAGUUAAUAACGCAUACUACCAGAUGGACCUGCGGUGUAUUAGGUAGUUGGUGGGGUAACGGCUCACCAAGGCAACGAUACAUAGCCGAACUGAGAUGGUGAUCGGACAAAAUGGGACGUAGGCACGGCCCAGAAGCCUACGGGAGGCAGAAGUAGGGAAUCUUCGGGAAUGGGAGGAAACCUGACCCGGGAACGCCGGGUGAGUGAAGAAGGUUUUUCGAACGUAAAGCUCUGUUGUUAAGAAAACGGUACUUAACCAGAAAGGGACGGCUAACUACGUGCCAGCAGCCGCGGUAAUAC